AUUUCCACUGCUGUACAGAGAGCACACGCAUCUUCGGUGGACUUGGAAUUCCUGGAGAAUUGCCUUUGUGAAAAGUUGGCAUAAUCCCUUUAAAUUCCAUCUCUUACAUUUUCUACGUAAGUAUUUGUGAUUGUUGCAAGUUUAUCUUAGGAGUUACUGAGUAUUA
rnacentral:other from 1 species